UGACGAAUGGUAACAAGAAAACGUUGUCUUUGUUUCAUGAAUUAUACUGUUAAGUCUCUAUAAGAGUAAAAACUUGUAGGUGCCAUAGAAAUAUUCCCACACAUGACACACAGCAGCCUUGAGUUAGAGUGUAGGCGUUUCAAGCAAUGUUUGUGGAGAUGUUUGCUGUCAGGGCACAUGCAGUACAAAGUCAGUAUGCUGUGCAUUGAGAACCAAGACCACAGUGACAUCACAAUAUGCAAUGUGAGCGAACACUGACAGAAAGACCUUGGAUUCAUCAUACAUUUGAUUUUGAAUUCAUUUUCAGUCACUGCGUGUUUAGAACCUUUCUACCCUGGUGACUUUUUUUUUUUUGGAAGUCCAGUUACAGGACCCUCUCCAGCAUUGAGACCUACUUGAAUUUUUUAAAAUAUUUUUGUGCAUUGGGGGUGGUGUUUAUCUUUGUGGAGAUCUGCAGUUGGUUCUUUCACUUCCAUUGUGAACUCUGUGGAUGGAACUCAACCCCUGAGACUCACAGGGAGCACUUUACCGGAGAGGCUGCCUCAUCAGCCUGGAGCCUACAGUACGAUCAUUUCCAGGAAGGCGGCAGAAGAGGAAUCCCAGGCGCUACGUGAAACUCCAAAUCGCUUCUUGUGGGCGAAUUGUAUCUGGGUUACUUGCAUGCACGUGACGUCCAACUUUGAGGUUCCCACAGAGACCAAAAGAGGGCAUCAGAUCCCCUGAACCUGGAGUUACAGAAGGUUGUGGGACUUGGGGACUGGGAAUGGACCUGAACUCAGAUCUUCAACCUAUGUUUGGCACCACAUAGACAAAACACCCAGAUGACUGGCUGAAUUUGCGAAGACUUGCUGACAUGCACCAGAUGUUUCAGCUUCUUAAGACUGUGGAGCUCAGAGGUCCCUGGGGACAGCAGGAGAGAGCAGAUGUCCCCAAAGGACCUUUACCACCUGCACAUCAUCCGUGGAAACUUCAGUGGGUGUGCAACACAGUAGGGUUUAAAUUAAAAACGCUGAUGACCGUGGAAGGAAAAUACAAUGAAAAGUACAAGGAA